rnacentral:tRNA from 4 species
GUGGGUAUAGUUCAGGGGUAGAGCGCCAGAUUGUGGUUCUGGUUGUCGUGGGUUCAAAUCCCACUACCCACCCUA